CCUACGGGUGGCAGCAGUGAGGAAUAUUGGUCAAUGGACGCAAGUCUGAACCCGCCAAGUAGCGUGCAGGAUGACGGCCCUCCGGGUUGUAAACUGCUUUUAGUUGGGAAUAAAAGGGGGCUCGUGAGCCCCGUAUUGUAUGUACCAUCAGAAAAAGGACCGGCUAAUUCCGUGCCCGCAGCCGCGGUAAUAGGGAAGGUCAGCGCGUUAUCCGGUUUUAUUGGGUUUAAAGGAAGCGUAGGCCGGCUUUUAAGUCCGAUGUGAAAGGUCGCGGCUCAACCGUGGAAUUGCAGUUGAAACUGGGGGCCUUGAGUGCACAUAGGGCUGCCGGAAUGCAUGGUGUAGCGGUGAAAUGCUUAGAGAUCAUGAAGAACUCCGAUCGCGAAGGCAAGUGUCCGGGGUGCAACUGACGCUGAGGCUCGAAAGUGCGGGUAUCAAACAGGAUUAGAUACCCGAGUAGUC
rnacentral:rRNA from 1 species